UACGUAGGGUGCAAGCGUUAAUCGGAAUUACUGGGCGUAAAGCGUGCGCAGGCGGUUGUGCAAGACAGAUGUGAAAUCCCCGGGCUCAACCUGGGAAUUGCAUUUGUGACUGCACGGCUAGAGUGUGUCAGAGGGGGGUAGAAUUCCACGUGUAGCAGUGAAAUGCGUAGAGAUGUGGAGGAAUACCGAUGGCGAAGCAGCCCCCUGGGAUAACACUGACGCUCAUGCACGAAAGCGUGGGGAGCAAACAGG
rnacentral:rRNA from 1 species